UUUUGUCGUCAUAAACAUAGGCGCCAUUUGAGCCGCCUACGAAGACGGCGACUAUCGGGCGGCCUUCCGGCGACAAUCGCCUGCGGGCAGCAUCCCUAAGAGGCGCGAGCCGCGCCGAGGUAAUCUGAUGCGGUACUCCGACCAUCGAGUGAUAGUUCGGCCGCUGGUC
rnacentral:sRNA from 1 species